GUGAUGCUAAUGCAUGUCGGGGUAAGAAACAAUGAAUUAUGGUAACAUUAGGAACCCCUUUCUUAACCAAUGCUGCAAAGCUAGAAAUGUUUCCAAACAUCGCAGAGACUCCAUCUAUACACAAACUGUCAAGCUUAUUCUUCAUACUAAAAACAUCUGUUGCUUUUUAUCAUACUAAAAACAUCUGUUGCUUUUUUGUUUUGUGACUCACUUUUGUUUCCAAAAGUGAGUCACAAAACAAAAACACUCUUUUUCAUACUUUGUGUUUUUAGAUAACAAACAAACACUAAGAGCUGGCUACACUGUGACACAUCUUUGCUCUCGUCCAGUUACGUGCUAAAUGGAAACGGCAAAGUGUUCAGUUCAUUAAUGACCUUUUGCAAAACAUUCCAACAAUAGAAUGGAUGACAUCAUUUAAAAUAAGCACUCUCAACAUUACAAAGGGGAGAUAAAACCCAAUUAUUCUAAAGUCACAAGUUGUAAAACUUAUAUUCACCUUAAAGCAUGACAAUCUUCUAUUUGACUUAUUACUUCUGUGUUAUUUUUUCAAAAAUGUAUACAAAAAAUAUGAUAAUGUUUUUUUUUUAUCAUAACUUUCAUUUUACAACUUUAUCUGUUUCGCAAGAAGAAAAAAUAGAGUAAAAAAUUAAGUAUUCAUCGGAUCUAUUUUUACUAUUGGUGUAGGAAAACUCGUUUUGGGUAUAAUUUUUAGAGAUUUUUUAAACUUUGAUAAAACAAUUCAUCAAUAUUUUUUUAUUAAAACAACACAUUCAAACUGAUCAAACAACAUGUUCAACUGAAAAACGCAUAAAUUUUAAUGGGAAUGUAAAUAAUAUACACAAUCUUGUUCAAUUCAAAUAAUGAAUAUAAUAUUUACAUACAUCGACUGAGGAUAGAUGUUGGGUCUUCAUGCAUCGGCUGAGGAUAGAGGUUGGGUCAAGAUUACGGAUACAAUUGAUCUAUAUGCAUCGAUACAUGCAUUGGUUGGUCAACAUGUAUUGGUACAUGUAUCGGUAAUUCGACACUUAAAAUUUAAAAACCUUUCCGUAAAAGCCCUUCUCUUUGUAGGAAAUGCAACUUGUCAUGGAUCUGAGAAAAAUUUUAUUAGUAAGCCGUA